GUCCCUGAACUGAGCCAGCAUUAGGCCACAGAGCCUGCUGGGGGAACAUCUUCUCAGCAUGAUAGCUCCAGCUCCUGAUUGCCAGCACAGAGAGUACAGCCCACAGCAGUCUGGCCUUGAGAGUCACAAAGGAAGAAGCUCCAGACAGCAGGACAACAGCCAGGUUCUUGAGAUGCUGGGCUUGUACACCCCCUUCUUUACUCACUACACAAGGAUGGCUAGAGCAUAUAGACAGACUGAAA